CGCAUCUGUGCAUGCAGCAUAUCAAUAAGCGGAGGAAAAGAAACUAACAAGGAUUCCCCUAGUAACGGCGAGUGAAGCGGGAAGAGCUCAAAUUUGAAAUCUUAAAGGGUUUCCCUUUACGAAUUGUAGUUUAAAGAAGUGUUUUCUGUUGAGGUUUUGGUAAAAGUUCUUUGGAAUAGGACAUCAUAGAGGGUGAGAAUCCCGUAUUUGACCUUUACUUUCAACUUUGUGAUACACUUUCAAAGAGUCGGAUUGUUUGGGAAUGCAGUCCAAAAUGGGUGGUAAAUUUCAUCUAAAGCUAAAUAUUGGCGAGAGACCGAUAGCGAACAAGUACCGUGAGGGAAAGAUGAAAAGAACUUUGAAAAGAGAGUUAAACAGUACGUGAAAUUGUCAAAAGGGAAGCGUUUGACACCAGUGUUGUUUUUCUGAAAAUCAAUUAAAGAACUGUUUAUGCUAAGCUGUUUAGACUUUAUCAGCUAUCUGUUUAGUUUUGAGCUUUUCUUUAAUGCACUUUUCAGUUAACAAGUCAACAUCAAUUUCUUUUGCUGUAAAAAAGCUUGAGGAAGGUGGCUUGAGAUUCGUCUUAAGUGUUUAUAGCCUCUUGCCUAUGCAGUCGGAGAGAUUGAGGUCUGCAGCGUAGAUCCUUCGGGGCUAAAUGCAUUUGUGCUAAGUUAUAGCAUUUUAUAGACAACAUGUUGACUAUGAUUUGUCUUGUAGCUUACUCGCUUAUGUUAUUUUACCUACGCUUAGGAUGUUGAGUCGUAGAGCACGCAG
rnacentral:rRNA from 1 species